AUUUAUAUAAUAUAAUAAUUAUACUUGACUUCCAAUCGAGAAAUCUAAUAACUAGUAUAAAUA
rnacentral:tRNA from 1 species